rnacentral:rRNA from 1 species
UACGGAGGGUGCAAGCGUUAUCCGGAUUCACUGGGUUUAAAGGGUGUGUAGGCGGGCUUUUAAGUCAGUGGUGAAAUCUCCGGGCUCAACCUGGAAACUGCCAUUGAUACUAUUAGUCUUGAAUUUUGUUGAGGUAGGCGGAAUAAGUCAUGUAGCGGUGAAAUGCUUAGAUAUGACUUAGAACACCAAUUGCGAAGGCAGCUUGCUAAACAAAUAUUGACGCUGAGGCACGAAAGCGUGGGGAUCAAACAGG